CAAGAACGAUAGUGCUUUUCUGAAUUGCAGAAUUUCAUGAAUCGUCGGAUCUUGAAUUUC
rnacentral:rRNA from 12 species